AGAGUUUGAUCAUGGCUCAGAUUGAACGCUGGCGGCAUGCCUUACACAUGCAAGUCGAACGGUAACAGGUCUUCGGAUGCUGACGAGUGGCGAACGGGUGAGUAAUACAUCGGAACGUGCCCGAUCGUGGGGGAUAACGAGGCGAAAGCUUUGCUAAUACCGCAUACGAUCUACGGAUGAAAGCGGGGGAUCUUCGGACCUCGCGCGGACGGAGCGGCCGAUGGCAGAUUAGGUAGUUGGUGGGAUAAAAGCUUACCAAGCCGACGAUCUGUAGCUGGUCUGAGAGGAUGAUCAGCCACACUGGGACUGAGACACGGCCCAGACUCCUACGGGAGGCAGCAGUGGGGAAUUUUGGACAAUGGGCGAAAGCCUGAUCCAGCCAUGCCGCGUGCAGGAUGAAGGCCUUCGGGUUGUAAACUGCUUUUGUACGGAGCGAAAAGCCUCUUUCUAAUAAAGAGGGGUCAUGACGGUACCGUAAGAAUAAGCACCGGCUAACUACGUGCCAGCAGCCGCGGUAAUACGUAGGGUGCAAGCGUUAAUCGGAAUUACUGGGCGUAAAGCGUGCGCAGGCGGUUUUGUAAGACAGAGGUGAAAUCCCCGGGCUCAACCUGGGAACUGCCUUUGUGACUGCAAGGCUGGAGUGCGGCAGAGGGGGAUGGAAUUCCGCGUGUAGCAGUGAAAUGCGUAGAUAUGCGGAGGAACACCGAUGGCGAAGACAAUCCCCUGGGCCUGCACUGACGCUCAUGCACGAAAGCGUGGGGAGCAAACAGGAUUAGAUACCCCGGUAGUCCAA
rnacentral:rRNA from 1 species